AACAGGCCCCCUGUGGGGAGCCCGAUGCAGGACUCGAUCCCAGGACCCCGGGAGGAUCCCGAAGGCCGCCACUCAACCAGUGAGCCACCCAGGUGCUCCCUUGUUUCUCUUUUAAAAUAAGAUUUAACCCAAUGAAUGCUGUUUCCUUAAUGCAAUUCCUCUUCAAAUGACGGGGGGAAGAGAAAAUGAGCAUACAACAACCUUCAGAAGCUUUUCUGAAGAAUCCGACGGACAGCCCAGUUCCUCAGAGCCCUAGGACACAGGAGGUAUCUCGGUGGCCCCCAUGAGGAAAACAAUGGCUUCACAUAAGGGCACACAGUGAGAGAGAGAGAGAGAGGCAGAGACACAGGCAGAGGGAGAAGCAGGCUCCAUGCACCGGGAGCCCGACGUGGGAUUCGAUCCCGGGUCUCCAGGAUCGCGCCCUGGGCCAAAGGCAGGUGCCAAACUGCUGCGCCACCCAGGGAUCCCCGGUGACUCUGCUUUAAAGGCGAAGGAGAAAGGUACUCAAAGAAUAUCCCACAGUUCUGUGUGAAAAUCACUUUAUGAAGAGAAAAGGACGACACCACCGCCAGUCACACAAAGGGCCCCGGCCCACAUGCCCACCGCAGUAGAACCGCGGACACGUGAGCUUCUGGGGCAGGGCUGUGCCCGACAGCCACGGCACGCUGACAGCCCGUAGCGUUGCUUUGCAGGCCAAGAGCUCAAGCUCCAACCCUGGCUCGAGCGGCCCACGACCCCCGUGAAGCCCCGUGCGCUGAUGUGCCACGGGCGGCGGAUCCACCUCAUACUUCAGGGGAGGCUUACGGGGUAAGCAGGGCACCGAGCACGUGAAGGUGCGAGAUGAACACAGGCUUCCAGGCCCAACCAGCGCCCCCAAUCCUUUGUAUUCGUAUGAUACUAACUUACCAUAAAGUCCUAAGUCUGCACCAUCCUCCUGAAAUCAAGGGCAUAAAUCCGAACGCCAAGAGGGUCCACCAACAUCACGUGAAGGGGGGAAACAGUCCACGUAUAACAAAACGUAUAGACCGAGGCCAGCGACGCAGACUCUCCGUCACAGACCACGGGGUGGGGAUGGCACAAACCAGAAAGCGCUGGCCCCGGCUCACAGGCAGCCACUCCUCCAAUCCGGUCGCUCGCUGCCGUGGGGAAGGGAGGCUGAGGGUUGCCAAGAUUUUUGACUUCCAAGAGAAGCUAGAGUUUUCCGAGAAAUUUCCUGAUUUUUAUUAUUAUUAUUAUUUUUAAAAGUAGGCUCCACGCCCAGCAGGGAGCCCAAUGCGGGGCUUGAACUCACGACUAAGACCCAGGCUGAGAUCAAGUCGGACCCUUUACCCGCUGAGCCACCCAGGGGCCCUAAAAUCUGAUUUUUAAAAUCCAGGCAACAAACUUUAAAAAAAAAUUUUUUUUUUAAAUUCUUAAAACCUGUGCAGUUAAGGAAAUCUGUUUCCAGGUUGGGACUGAAUUCCAGGCCCUGCUUUGACCUUUGAGAGCCCUGUGAGGUGAGCAGGGCCCGUGUAGGAUCUCCACCUGGGAUCUCCACCUGGCCAGCUGGGAAACGAGGCACCCACGAACGCCCAGGUGGCCUUAGUGCCGUCACUCAGUAGCAGGGCCAGGGCGAGAAUACAGGUGGGCCAGCUCCGGGCCCUCACCUUGGUCCACCGCCCGCUGCCAUCAUCCCCGCCCCGAGCAGUUGAUUCACACUGAGGACGACUUUGCCAACCGCUUCGGAAGGAACCAAAAUUCUCAAAAGUUUUCAACAGAUGGCGAGGCGCGCAGCAGGGAUUUUACGGGAGGAAAGGUCAAUCCGCAUCAUUUGUCAACACUGACUUCAGUGGGGCCUGGAGUGUUUGGCCUUCAGCUCUCCCUACUUGCCUGCGAGGGAUCACGAAGUGCCAGGCCCUUGGGGGAACACGUCUGGGCGGUCCCGUGGGCAGGCAGAGCUCCCGGGGAGGCCGGCACCCCCCCCCCCCCGCCCUCCGCCCCGGCCCCACAGGAACGAGCACACUCAGACCCUGCGAGCUCUGGACGGCGGCCGGGCCACGGGUCCAGGCGGCGCAUCGCCUCCUCUCCCGGCACAACAGGGGGGCACCCCCGGCUCAGGGUCCCUCUAGGGGUUUGGCAAGAGUCUCUGAAAAAGAGAGACACAGAAGCAAUCGCCGGGGAGGCACCUGCGCCUGGAAGCCAAGGUUCCUCUGAGGUUCAGGAUUUCCGGAUGUACCACCGCUCACGCCGCCGCCAGGCCCUGGGUGGGGCCCCUGCCACGGCCCGGGUGCAGCAGCUCAGUGUCCUUCCCAUCCCAGCUCCUGCCGUCGCCAAGCUGACUUCGCCGAGUCUUUUGACAACUCUAUGCCCUGAACCUCUCGGGGAUCCACCCUCUCUACUCCAUCCCUGGGGCCCCUGCACACUCUCCUCUCUUCUUACCAGGAGAACCAAAAUAGGGUCCUCAGUGCCUGUGCCCGGACGUCUUUCUCUUCUGAGACUCUACCUAAUAACUCCUCUUAAAAGCAUUCAGUAGUUCCCCAGAAUAAAGACCAAAUUCCUUACACAGCAAUGUGAAAGAACCUUUAUAUUUUCCAUUUUAUUAUGAGAAAUUUCAAACACACAGUAAAGUUGAGAGAAUCAUACUUCGAAUAGCCACACACCCAGCCCCUGGAGUCUACGAUGCUACCACUGCCGUACGCUUCUUUCAUCACACACGCAUCAGCCAUCUACGCAAACCAGCUCAUCCUAGUUUUGCCCCAUUUCAAGGAAGCUGCAGACCUCAGUGCACUUCACCCUAAAUGCCUCAGCAUGCAGACCUUUACCUUGGGUUCAGAGUUCACGUCACGCUUCUUUUGCGGGGGAGGGACAGGAGAGUAGAAAUAAAAUCUAUUUACAGUGAA